ensembl:lncRNA
CCGGCAGCGCCGGAGCCCCCAGCAGCCGGAGCGGCGGCAGCUGACGAUGAGGAGCGCGGGGGGGGCGGGGGGGGGCCGUUAUUUAUAUCGUUAAAGGGACAGGCCGCCCAUUUCUCCGCCGCGGGGGCUGGGGGGGGCCGCUGCACGGCCACCGACUUUCUCCCCCCCCCUUUCCCCCCCCUCCCCAACCCCCGGACCGGAGGAACCCGGGGCUGAGUGAGGCGCUGAGGCGACAGCGGAGAGUUUCUUCCCUCCUCCCUCCUCCUCCUUCUCCUCCUCCCCGCGGCCGUCAGCGGAGGGAGAAAGGGCCCCGCCGGGAGCACGGAGCAGCCGGGCGGCCCCCACCCCCCGCGCUCCCCUCCUCCCCCUUUAUUGCCCUUUGUGUGCGUUCGCCGCCUGCGCCGCUCCGGGGCCGGCCGGGCGCCGGGGGGCCGCUGAGGCAUGAAUGUGAAUCUCUACAUCCUUGGAGCUGUCGUGAUGAUGCCUGAAUCUCGUGCAGCUUCACCAAGCCAAAGGCACAACCUUUGUCACCCACAUCUCAGGGCACAGAGUUCCAAUGCUGCAGUGAAAAACCUGCAGUGCCUCCUCUUCGGUAUCCCUGGCAGCAGCUGGGAGUGCAUUCCCUUCAGAGGUGGGCGGCCCUUCUGUCCAUGCUGUUUUCCAGACACUGGGGAAAGGGAGUACUAGGUAUAGGCCUGGCAAAGUGGGAUCAGGCUUAUAU